GAUGAACGCUGGCGGCGUGCCUAAUACAUGCAAGUCGAACGCAUUGUGGUUGAAAUGAUAUGAAGAACUUGUUCAGAUUUGAUUUUCAACAUUGCAAUGAGUGGCGAACGGGUGAGUAACACGUGGGAAACCUACCUCUUAGCAGGGGAUAACAUUUGGAAACAAAUGCUAAUACCGUAUAAUAAUUAAAACCGCAUGGUUUAGUUUAAAGAUGGUCUUGCUAUCACUAAGAGAUGGUCCCGCGGUGUAUUAGUUAGUUGGUGAGGUAAUGGCUCACCAAGACAAUGAUACAUAGCCGAGUUGAGAGACUGACCGGCACAAUGGGACUGAGACACGGCCCAUAACUCCCUACGGGAGGCCAGCAGUAGGGAAUCGUU
rnacentral:rRNA from 1 species